UACGAAGGGUGCAAGCGUUGCUCGGAAUUAUUGGGCGUAAAGGGUAGGUAGGUGGUUACAUUUGUCUGGGGUGAAAAUCCCUGAGCUUAACUCAGGAAGUGCCUUGGAAACGGUGUAACUAGAGUACUGGAGAGGUUCGUGGAAUUCCCGGUGUAGCGGUGAAAUGCGUAGAGAUCGGGAGGAACACCAGCGGCGAAGGCGGCGAACUGGACAGUAACUGACACUAAACUACGAAAGCGUGGGGAGCAAACAGG
rnacentral:rRNA from 1 species